GCGAAUCGAUUCCCAUCGGUUAUUUCACCGAAAAACUAUCCGGAUACCCAUUACUUCUUACGCGGCCGAGUUCGGCACGAAAAACCGGACAAUUUCUGCGCGGGGCACAUUUAUCUAGCGGCGGAAUCGCGUGCUAUAAUUUUCUAAAAAAAAUACACGGAAACGGAUAAACGCGGCACACAGAUCAAUAAAUGUAACGCGGUUUUGUUUUUUAACCGCGCGCGUCCCA